rnacentral:rRNA from 1 species
GUAGGUGGCAAGCGUUGUCCGGAAUUAUUGGGCGUAAAGCGCGCGCAGGCGGUUCUUUAAGUCUGAUGUGAAAGCCCACGGCUCAACCGUGGAGGGUCAUUGGAAACUGGAGAACUUGAGUACAGAAGAGGAAAGCGGAAUUCCACGUGUAGCGGUGAAAUGCGUAGAGAUGAGGAGGAACACCAGUGGCGAAGGCGGCUUUCUGGUCUGUAACUGACGCUGAGGCGCGAAAGCGUGGGGAGCAAACAGGGAUUAGAUACCCUGGUAGUCCACGCCGUAAACGAUGAGUGCUAAGUGUUAGGGGGUUUCCGCCCCCUUAGUGCUGCAGCUAACGCAUUAAGCACUCCGCCUGGGGAGUACGGCCGCAAGGCUG